GACGUAGGGCGCGAGCGUUGUCCGGAUUUAUUGGGCGUAAAGAGCUCGUAGGCGGCUCGUUGCGUCGGCUGUGAAAACCCGCAGCUCAACUGUGGGCUUGCAGCCGAUACGGGCAGGCUAGAGUUCGGUAGGGGAGACUGGAAUUCCUGGUGUAGCGGUGAAAUGCGUAGAUAUCAGGAGGAACACCCGUGGCGAAAGCGGGCUCUCGUCGG
rnacentral:rRNA from 1 species